GCAAUGUGGAUACCCUGGAAAGUCUCUCUCCCUGGGGCUCCCAGGUGGUGCAGGGGGAGCAUAGGGCUCUGCCCCAUGAUGCACAGCCUUUUCCGCACCAUUGAAGAGAAAGCUGGGCCUUGAGUCUGUCCUGCAUAUUCCUAUAGCCUCUCAGAUUCUUGCGGACAAUGACCCAGGAGCAAACCAUGCAUGAACCAUCU